AGGACUUGGAGAAAUUCAACAUGCAAAAUGUGUCAGAUGAAAUCUAUCUGAAAGUUUAUGGUAUUUAAUCAGGGCAUAUUAAUGUUGUAUGGCAAUGCUUCUUUGGAUAUGCGAAACAUACAUGCUGAUAGUCGCUUGAAGACUAACGACAAGUUUAGCUAGCUAACGUUAGCUAACAGCUAAACUCGAGUUGCAUUCCAUAGAUAGCUAGCUAUCUGUCGUAUUUAGAGCUCACCUCAAGAGUACUAUCUCUGCUUGCAAGUUGCAUGAACAACAAAUAGUCUCGAAAACCCGACCCUGUUGCCUAGGGUCGAUUUUCGAGUAUAAAAAACUAACGACUCCCUUACGCCCUUAAAUGCACAAGGGUCAAAGAAAAUCAGAUAGCGAGCUACAGUAGCUUGCUAUGAAUAUUUAUUCUUUGACUAGCCAGAGAGGUCUGCGCAUGUCAGCAACGUUUCCAAGUUGUUAGAGCAAGCAAGAUCUCCAGGUACAGUAGCUAGUUGGUUAGGUGAGAACUCGGUGUGGUGUUUUGUUACAAUAACCCCCUGCUCUCUUGAUCUAUGAGGUAGUAACGUGCCUAAAGUAGUUGUCCCUCUGUGGUAAUUGAGUUCACUGUCAUUUGCUGUGUCAACAUCAAUAUGAGUUCGGUUGGCUGUAGGUUUCUGUUGAGACAUUACUUGAAUUUGUUUUGUGUGUCCUUCAUAUUCUUCAAGUUUAAGUUGUAUUAGUCAUAUGUACAGGAUACACAUAUGUACAGGUUCCUUCUCCACAAUGCAACAACAAGAAAUAAUAGAAGAUAAGAAUAUGAACAUCAAGUAAUUGGUUCAGUAGGAUAUUUUAGCAUAAAUAUAAUACAGGAAGGCACAAUUUAUACUCAAAUAUUUACAUGUGUUUUAGGGAAGGGGGAAUUGGGGGUCAAGUGUUUUAAAUGGUGCAUUAUUUAGCAAUCAUAAGAGUCUGGUAGCAGCAGUUGUGAUGUGUGUGUAGCAUAAAUGUGUGGCUGUGUAUGCAUGUGUAAGUGACUGCAUGUGUGCUAAGGUUCGGAGAAUCAGAGCUGGUGGGCAGUCCAGUUCAAGUGUUCAGCAGUCUGAUGGCUUGUAGAGAGAAACUGUCUCUGAGCCUGUUGGUGUCAGACCUCAUGCUCUGAUACGGUCUGCCUGACGGUAAGGGAGUGAGCAGCUGGGGUUUGUGGGGCCCUUAAUGAUGCUGCGGGUCUUCCUCAGGCACCAUUACGAGUAUAUGUCCUGGAUAGGUGGGCGCAUGGUCCUCGUGAUGCACUGGGCCGUCUUCACCACCCUAUGGAGGGCAUUGUGGUUGUGGACGGCGCAAUUUCCGUACCAGGCCAAGUUGCAACCGGUCAGGAUGCUCUCGAUGGUGCAGCGGUAGUAUUUGGAGAGGACCCGGAGUGGCAUGCCGAAUUUCUUCAGCAGCGUUAUGAAGUAGAGACGCUGUUGUGCCCUCUUGACGAGUGGUGUUGGUCGAUGUCAAGUCCUCGGUGAUUUGGAUGGCGAGGAACUUUAAACUACUGGCUCUCUCUACUGCAGUUCCGUUGAUGUGGAUCGGGGCAUGUUCCCUCCUUGGCUUCCUGAAGUCAACAAUCAACGCCUUUGUUUUUCUGACGUUGAGGAAGAGGUGGUUGUCCUGGCACCACAUGCCAGUCCACUUACCUCAUCCCUAUAGGCAGAUUUUUUGUUGUUGGUUAUCAGGCAUACAACCGUGGUGUCGUCAGCAAACUUGAUGGAGUUGGUGUGGGGGCCCUGUGUUAAGAGUCAGUGUGGAGGAGGUGUUAUUGCCAAUCCAGCCUGUGGUCUACCCAUCAGGAAGUCCAGGAUCCAGUUGCAGGUGCAAAAGGUGGUGUCCAGAGCCAGGGCUUUGAACUUGGUGUUGAGCUUGGAGGGAACAAUAGUGUUGAAUGCUGAACUGUAGUCCAUGAAUAGCAUUCUCACAUAGGUGUUCUUCUUGUCCAGAUGUGAUACGGUCGUGUGAAUAGCAAUGGAAAUGGCAUCUUCAUUGGAUCUUUUGGAGCGGUAGGCAAAUUGGAGUGGGUCCUGUGUACCUGGCGUGCUGACCUUAAUGUGGGUCAAGACCAGCCUCUCCAAGCACUUAAUGAUGACAGUGGUGAGUGCGAUUAGUCAUUUGGGUAUGUCACCCUUGUUUUGCUUAGGCACUGGGACAAUGGUUGUCUCCUUGAAGCAGGUGGGGACUACAGUCUGGGACAGGGACAUGUUUUAGAUGUCCGAGAAGACGCUGGUCAGCAGCACACACUGAGGACGCAUCCAGAGAUGCCAUCUGGGUCGGUGGGUUUGAGAGUUUUCCUCGUGUCAGCAUCGGCGAGCGAACACACCUGGUCAUCUCGAGCAACGAGAGAAGCGAGCAUAGAAUGAGUUAAGCGUGUCUGGGAGGGAGGCUUCUGUAGGCACCACACAGCUGGAUUUGCCUUUGUAGUUCGUGAUAGUCUGUAGUCCUUUCCACAUGCGUCGCGAGUUUGAGUUAUCAAACAUCAAAGAUUUUACAGAGUUACAGUUCAUAUAAGGAAACCAGUAAAUUGAAAUAAAUUCAUUUGGCCCUAAUUUAUGGAUUUCACAAUUGAGGGGCACAUCCAUGGGUGGGCCUGAGAGGGCAUAGGCCCACUUGGGAGCAAGGCCCAGCCGAUUAUUUAUUUUCUUCCCACAAAAUGGCUGUAUUACAGACAGAAAUACUCCACAGUUUCAUCAGCUGUUCGGGUUUCUGGUCUCAGACGAGUCUGCAGGUGAAGAAGCCGGAUGUGGGGGUCCUGGGCUGGCGAACAGGUGGUCUGUUCUUGUGAGGCCGGUUGGACGUUGUGCCAAAUUCUCUAAAACGACAUUGGAGGCAAAUCCAGCUCAAAGUUAUUCAAGCAUAGCUAGUAGCUACCGAAUGUCAUUUUCGGCGAGUGUGGACAUUUACAAGGGAAUGAGCGAAAUUGUGCAAAUGAACAAAGUUGUGAUGCAUGCUUUUCUAAAGGAAGAGCACCACGUGUACACGGAGCAGAGGGGAGAAGAACGGAAGAGAAAAUAAAACGCUAGUAGAAAGCACAGGGGGAAAAGGCAGCUGUACAGAACUCAUCAGAGCUCUUUGACUUCUGGCAGAAUUCUAAGAUAUCUGAGGGCAAACAUUUAGUAGUGAAUUGCAUACAAGUGCAACUUCAUCGCCUCAUUUGCGCACAACAGAGACUAUGGACUCCAGCUCCCGCCGUCUUCCGUUGUGCUAUUUACAAACGUGACUGGCUCAACUUUACCCGGGGAACUACGGUAAGCUUCAUAAUGUCAAAUAUUGUGACCGAUGAAAUGAAGAACGCAGUCUGCUUUUAUCUCCUAACGAAUUGCACAAGUUGACUGCAGGUAUUAACUUAAGUAUCUACAAAUAUUCACAUUUUCUUAAAAAACUUCAAAGAAUAGUUUUGAUGUUAUUUAAAAAACCGUUCUGUGGCUUUUUCAAAGUUACCCUGGAAUACGGUAUAUAAGGUAUACCACCCAAACCUAUUAGCCAUCAGGAUACUAGGAAGAGGAGGCCAUGUAGGCAGUCUUUUCAGCCUAGCUUGGAGUCCCCCUUUCCUUCCUCUUCUUUGUCACUGGCGUAGUAUUCCCAAUCUGGGAUGCUGAGAGAAGUGUGUAGCUUCUGAUUCAUGAUCCAGAAGUGUUUGUCGGUUGUAGGAAAUUAUUGCACAAACAUGGAGUAAAUAAAGUAAUAACAGAAAAACAGCCAUUAAAAAAAAGCAAAGUCGAGCAGGAACCGGUAAGACGCGCGCCCUCCUCAGGGCCGCCAUCUUAUCUUACCUUUUUCUUGUUCUUUUUCUUAGUUAACCCUGAUGAUUGUACGUCAGUUCACCAGCAGAGGCGUCACCUCUCAUCUGUGUGCCCGAUUUAACGAGACCCAGAACAGACAGGUCAUGGCCAGACCCAGCUCAGACCUAGCAGCGUUCCGAGAGGUGUUCUCGAAAGCCAAACACGUCGCCAUCUUGACGGGAGCAGGGGUUAGUGCUGAGAGUGGGGUCCCAACCUUCAGAGGAGAAGGAGGCUUCUGGAGGAAAUGGCAAGCCCAGGACCUGGCCAACCCUGGUGCGUUCAGUCAGAACCCGUCCAGGGUAUGGGAGUUCUACCACUACCGCAGGGAGGUGAUGCUGACGAAGAGCCCCAACUCGGCUCAUGUGGCCAUAGCAGAGUGUGAGGCCAGGCUGCAGAAACAGGGGCGCCGUGUCACCGUCAUCACACAGAACAUCGAUGAGCUACAUCGCCGAGCCGGAUCCACCAACGUCUUGGAGAUACACGGCAGUUUGUUUAAAACCCGCUGUAUGAGCUGUGGUCAUGUUGGCGUGAACCACAAGAGCCCCAUCUGUGCUGCCCUGGAGGGCAAAGGUGCUCCAGACCCCAACACCAGUGAUGCUCAGAUCCCUCCUCAUGACUUACCCAGGUGUGAGCAGGGUGGCUGUAGUGGUCUGCUCAGACCUAAUGUGGUCUGGUUCGGGGAGACUCUGGACUCAGACAUCCUGACUCGCGUUGAAGAGGAACUAGACCUCUGUGACCUCUGCCUAGUGGUGAGUGCAGGUAGGUACGUCCUCCAUAGUGUACCCAGCAGCCAUGUUUGCUCCCCAGGUGGCGGCUAGAGGAAUACCUGUAGCUGAAUUUAACAUGGAGGAAACACCCGCCACCAUGCGCUUCAGGUUCCACUUCCAGGGCCCCUGUGGGACCACCCUGCCCCCUGCACUGGCACGCCACAACAAUGAGCCCUGACUUCCCCUGGCUGAGCCAUAGUGCAGUCUACACAGACCAGACUCUAGUGCUGGAUGGGUGUGCUCAGGGGUGUAUUCAUUAGGGCAAAACAUUUAGCAACAGUUAACGUUUUGCAACAAAAACGAGCACUUCUUAUUGGACAAUUUCAGGUUCGUCGCUCUUCGUUUCAGCCAUCUGCUUCUGUUUGGUUCCUAAAGAAUACACCCCAGUUUUGUGAAUGUAAUGUAUGCUAUAGAAAACACACUGUGCUGACAAUACCCCACACUCCCUAGGCUACCACUCUGGAUUUGUGUUAUUGCAUGAAAUGACAAACAUGUUUUAAAAAAUAAAUCACAAUUAUGACAUGUA